UCCCGGCCCCAGCCCAGACUAGGUGAGGCUGGGAAGCGGGCACGACCUUUCUCUAAAAUGCGUGGUCAUUUUCUGGAGCUUCAGGAAAAUACCCCCUCCCCCACUGGCCUCCUACUUCUCUAGCAGGGGCGGAGUAGGGGCAGAAGCGUUAGUCUGUGGUGUGGGGAAGGUGUCCAAAGUCACCCUUCGGUGUAUCCACGCCGUUACCCGCCGGGUGUGACCUCUGCGGCGGGGACCGCGAGAAGCCCGCCGGUUAACACAAAAGCGGAGGGCAGCCCUCGGCUGGCACCGUGCGCCCGAGCCCGCAGCCCCGGACACUCCACAUGGACGCACACGCAGGACAGCUCCGGGCUCCGAAACUAGGGCGAGUGGUAGGACCGUAUCGGUUCGAUUUUUUUUUUUUUACAAUCACAAAGCGUUUGAAAUUGACAAGAACAUGUCAGUGAAACCAACAAGAGCGUGAAAAGAUCGGAGUCCAGGAGGAAUCAGAGGCAACCCGGUGGGAGGGUAGGAGGGGGCGGAAGCCAGCGGCCAGGAGGAGGGGGAAAGAGAAGGUGCUUUGGGGUCCGCGAACCUGCCCAGGCCUGGGGGUCGCCCCGCUCUCAGGCAAUAUUUAGGGAAAACCCAUGUUCAGCUUUCACGUGUUCUUCUGCUCCCAGAGCCGAUUGGACUGGGACCGGACGGCCCGGAAUGGGGACGCAAUGACCACAGGCGGAACCCGCAGCAGAAAUCCCCUCUGCCCUCAAGCCAGGGUGGCGGGAAAGGCGGGGCCCCGUGGUCCGAGAUUCGAGCUGAGACCUCAGCAGAACUGGGUUUGAACCUUAAAAACGAUUUCCUGGUUCUUAUUCCCCGACCCCAACAAUUUCUGCUCAGAGAGCGGCAGAACCAAGGAACCUUCUUGACUGCCCGUGGAUGACUAUUUGUAGACACAAGUGUGGCCUGGGACUUUCGCACCUGCCUGGGAGGGAGACCUGCGCGGCCGCAGGGUGUGGGGGCACGGUGAAGGGCAGAAACACCUGCUCCUUUCCACCUGCCUCUGGGAGAGAGGCGGCCGAAGGUCACAGUUUGGUAAUUUGGGGUAGAAACUAGAGGUGUCUGGAGCCUGGGUCUCACUUGAAGUCCCCAGUUCCCCCCACCGGGGUUCCUCGCCGCCAAGCCCGACCUCACUCAGACCACCCACCUCUCCACGGGCCUGGGAACACGCGGAGGGCGGCCUCGGAAGUCUUUGCGCCCCGGCGGACCCGGGAGCCCUGGAGUUCCACGCGGGAUCCUCCGAGAUCCUGCUCUGGACCUGAACCGAUUUCCAGCGGCGUCGCGCGGGAAGUGCAGGGCGGGUGUUUUCGCUUUACUUUUCGCCCUGGUAACGGCUCUCCGGGCCCCACCCUCCGCUUCCACGCCCUCACCCCCGCGCGCCGCUCAGCACACCUCCACAACCCGCCCUCCCGCUGGAGUGCGCGCAGGUAAACCCCGGGCGUGUCGGAGCAGCCCGGCGGACACCGGGCGGGAUUAGGUGGAGGAGUGUUUGCAUUUGAAUGAAGUUAUUUGUUAUCUCUACUUAGCUAUUUUAUCUACUUAUAGAUUGUUCUGGAAUAAAUAGCACCAUUAUAAAGUGAAGCAAGGAGAGGAGGGAGAACACGUGAAGCUUUUUACUCUUUCUGCUGUGAAACAGAAAUUUUGACCAGUUUACAGGUUGAACUAUGAUUCCAUUAAAACACCCAAGCCAGAUCUGUGGAGAUCUGCUCCUGUCCUUAAGGGGAAAUUCAACUUAGGGCGUCAAGUAAACAAACAGCCAGACCGUCCUCCACAAAACAAUGCAAGGGAAGGAUAAUUGGGGUGGGGGGAGAAGCCCCCAACACCCCGGUCGGGUUAUUCUUAUUACCAUUGUGCCUCCAGUUCUUUUUAUCAAUCUUGCUUCAUUCUAAUUACUCUUAGUUUGGAAUCUCCAAGUUGGAUAGAAAUGCUGUCAGCUGUUCACGGAAGUCUGAUCCUGAUAUUCUAAACCCGAAAAGUGAUAAGAAUCUUGACAGAGAACUAAGUCCACUCCCACUUGAAUGAAACUCUUACCCAGGGAAAACGAAAACUACUCCUGCCUGCCUCCCUCCCCUCAGCCCCCAGGAGAACCGUGAAAUGCCUGCUGAAUUGAGAGACUGGAAAAGAACAGAGCAAGGCAGAGCCCCUGAGGUCUUUGCCACAGGAGAGUGAUCAACAUCUGAGUCCUUUGCAUCCUUAUUUUACCCUGACUUCAGUUAAUGCCACCAAUGUCCAGUGUGCACACUCUCAGCACACACACAGGCAGUGCCAUGAAGUGGAGGGGACAGAAAAGCUUUCCACACCAAAACUCUUCUCCAUGCAAACAAAAGAAUGGCUGUCUCGCCUUAGAAGGAAGCCCUGGCUAGGGUGAUUUCAGGGGUUAAUCCUCAAUGAAAGAGGGUUAAGCAGAGACUUGAAGAUUGCUGAGGUUUUAUGAUGGUGAAUUGCCUGGGGAAUCCACAUUCAGAUCAGCCUUGGUAUGUUUUGCUGAGUGAGAUAAGAGUUGGAGACUUCAUGCUGGGACAUGUGCAAAAGGAAGGGAAAAAAUUAAAAGGGGAGGGGAAGGAACUAGGCAACUAAAAACAGCCCACUCGUGGCAACCAAAUCUAAACAGAAAAACAUUGCAGGGAGCCAAACGCAAAAGAAAAAACAAAAAAGUUUGAGAUAUUUAAAGGUUCUAGCAGUUUCUUAGUUCAGUGCACAGUCCCUUCCCACAUUCCUCUGCCCCAUUACUCUGUUCUCUAAACCCUAAGACUGUAUUCGUGCCCAGAAUGCUAGAAACACAAGAUAAGAUCUGCCAGAGAAGCGGCAGAGUACUAGCAGCUCUGUCUGCCUGGCUCAACCUACUUCUUCGCUUUGGAACGGGAGUGGAGUCCAUUUUCUUAUACUUUAUUCUGUUUCCGAAGCUCACUCUUUCUACAAAGUCAGUUUGAAUGUGGGGAUUGCUAGUUUAAUAGUGUCCAAAAUUGGCAUUGUCAGGAAACAGGGGCAGCAUCACACAGUAGGCACCAAAGUGUGGAAGGCACUUGGAUUCUGGAUUCAGCACUUAGAUGCUGUGUCACCUUAAGUAAGUUAUUUCCUCAAAUGAAAAAUGGCACUAACAAUAGCACCUAAUGCAUAAGAUUGUUGUGACAUUUCUCUGAGGAUGUGGCACCCAGUCAGCCCUCAGUAGUGGUAUCAUUAAUUAAUUAUGAAUCAAGAGAAGCUUUCUGAGGUACCCUUGAAUCUCUCCAGGAACUCAUUCAGUAUCACUUGUCAGUGGAAAAUAGUGGAUGAAGUCAAGCGAUCUCCAGGAAUGACAAUCAAGAGGGGGCGGGAGUGAGAGCCCAGGCAGACACUGAUGAAAGCCAUCCUCGUUCCCCAUCACAGCAACUCCACCACACACCUGGGGCUCUCCUCAAUGCUGGAUGGCCCUGCCAAGUAUCCUGGGCUAGGAGCAGGGGAUUUGGGUUUGGGGUCUGGUUCUGUCUUUGGUAUUCUUGAGCAAGGCACUCCCCGUUUCUAAGGCUCCCAACUUUUCUGAAGUGAGGAGCCUUGGGCUGAGCUCUGACGGUCCUGAAUGGGGACCCUCUGCCAAAGCCACCCUAUGAGCUUCUGGCAACUUUCCCUAAGAGAGAUGGGGAGAGAGAAGACAUCAUAGGUAAGGCACUGAAUAGAACAAGGACAGACCCAUUUCUGCAACCUUUCUUCCCCUCCAAAAACUAGAGUUAAGAAAUGUUGUCCAACUUAAACACAGCCUGUCCUUCUCCCACCUCCAAUACUUCCAAGAAUUUUCACCCCCAUGGACUAGGUGCCUUGUGAGAGAGGGAUGUGGCAGAACACCCCAGGCAUGGAUUACAUCUCUGGUGACUUCUUGUGUGUAGCCCAUCAUCAACAACCAUAGACAUCUACCUUGGUCUACAGGGCCAAAACCCAGGUAGCAGAUAUUCCCAUUUGAGAGAUUGAAUCCAGAGACCCCAGAAUCCAAGAUGAAGUCCUGGAAGUCAGUAGAUUAGCAGGACUCAGGAGACCGGGGAUUCAUCCACAGGUUUACCUCCAGUCAACUGAGUGAGUAUACAAGUCAUAAACACGAUGUCUCAGUUUCCCAGUCUAUAAAACGUAACCACUUAGCAUUGACUCCCCCUAGGUUGUUGUAAGAAUCAAAUGAGAUAGUAGAUGUGAAAGUGAUUUGAAGAUAAAAGAUUCAUAGUUUUAAAGAUUUCUUUGGGGAAAGUUUUACUAUAAUUUUUUUGUCAUUAUGAAAAUUUGGGAAACAGACAAGGGAAAAAUAUUACCCACAAUCUCAACACUAUUAACACUGUAGUGUGUUUCCCUC
rnacentral:lncRNA from 1 species